GACCAGACUACAGAGAACGCUGCAGCCAGCUGCCGGAGAAACUGCUGCUGGGACAGGGGCUGGGGCAGGUUGGUUAUAAGCACAGCACGAGGAAAUAUUUUUGGGAUCCAGGUGAGGUGGACCUCCUGGACCCAGGACACUGGGUUCGCCACUUCAAGGCGGCUGCAGACACACUGCCCUGGAGAGAGGCGAGAGGCUGACUUGUGCUCAGCACACGUGAGUGUUAGGGGCGGCCAGAGGAGCACAGGCCCCGCUGCACAGGUUAAGGAUGGACUCUGCUCUCAAGCCACAAGGGGCAACGGCCCCGCGCCAACUGGGCGAAGUACAGACCCACAGACCGUGGCGUUCAGCGCAGCAGAGAAAGCCGGAAAUAGAAUCAGCUGCAGCGGCCACAGCGGUGGGGUAGGGACACCAAACACUUUCGCUGGACAGUUCUACGUGGACUUUAGAAAGAACCUAGAAACCAUCUCUAGAAGAAGACUCCAACACCCCAAGCCCGGUAAGAGGACCUCUGUGCAAGCUGGCCUGGUCUGCUCCUGCCUGGCACCUCUGCCCUUGCUGCCGCACUCCUGCCCAGAUAGCCACAGAGGCCCUGCUUCUCGAGGCUUAAACCUGGGCUUGAAGGAACCCUCACCUCAAGCUGUUUCCUGCCCUCCCCGUGAAAAGUGGAGCCCGACUGCACUAUUUCCCAACUCUCUGUUGUGUUUUCUCCUUGGCACUGCUCACCUUCUCAGGUACUUUAUAAUUUAUUUUUAUUACAUUUAUUUUUCUUCCCUCCCCCACCCACCCCCUGGACACAACAAGGAGGGACAGAUUUUCUGCUGUUUUGUUCCAGAGUCUGGCACUGUGCCUGGCAGGCAGUAGGGACUUCAUAGAUACUUGUUCAGUGAUUAAUGGCCAGGUCGUUCAGUGGGAUCAUCUCAUCCCAAUUUGCUUCUCCUCAUCUUCUGUCUGGGCCCAAAUGUCUUAGAGGCCCUCAGGUAUUUUUGUUCCAAGUCCCGCACCCUCACCCCAGCUGAUUUCCCAUAAGGAGGUAUUCGCUGACGCCUCCUUAAAAAUGGCUUUGGAUAAUGCCCAAUCUUCUCCCCAGGACAAGUCUCACUAGUGUUUAUCUGCAGCCUUCUGGGCAGGCCAGAAGCAAAGGGGAGCAAACUGCCCUACCCAACGCUUCCUUCUGAGGAAGAUACUCUGGGGUUCUUUCUACCUACUGUUUCUGUGGAUCAAACCCGUGUUUAUUCAUUUCCUUAUUGGCAGAUCCAGGUUUCUCAAACAAUAUACACUUUUGGGAGGGUCAACUUUAAAGAAAAAAAAUGCAAAACUACAAGCAUAGAACUAGAAACUCGAAUAGUAUUUAUUUAGACUGUGAAAGCAAAUUACUACAAAGUACAAAUUAAAAAAUCUGACAAACAUCAGAUGAUAAAAAGUAGGAAAGCAU
rnacentral:lncRNA from 1 species